GCCAGGUGAGGUAGCUUAUGUCUGUAGUUCCAGUUACUUAGGAGGCUGAGGGGGGAUGAUCACUUGAGUCCAGGAGUUCGAGACUACCCUGGGCAAGUGAGAUCUCAUCCCAA
rnacentral:sRNA from 1 species